GUGGAUUAGAUACCCUGGUAGUCCACGCCGUAAACGAUGGGCACUAGGCGCUUGGGGGAGCGACCCCCCGAGGGCCGGCGCUAACGCAUUAAGUGCCCCGCCUGGGGAGUACGGCCGCAAGGCUGAAACUCAAAGGAAUUGACGGGGGCCCGCACAAGCGGUGGAGCAUGUGGUUUAAUUCGACGCAACGCGAAGAACCUUACCUAGGCUUGACAUACACGGGAAAGCCCUCAGAAAAGGGGGCCCCUCUUCGGAGCCCGUGCACAGGUGCUGCAUGGUUGUCGUCAGCU
rnacentral:rRNA from 1 species